ACAACAAGGGUAACGGCUGGCAGUGUUUCACGCGAUUUCGAAACGUUAAGUUCGUUGCUGCGGUCGUCGGGAAUUGGUAUUGGAAUUGUGAGUGUGUCCGUCGUGCGGAAAAUCUUCGCUGUCAAAUAGAGGCCACAGUGGAUUGCCGAUAUCUAAUACUGUGCAAGGCGAAAAUGUGUGCCCCAGCAUUUGGUGAAUGAAAAGUGCGAAAACACAAAAUACAGAGAAAUAGUGCGAGUUAGGUGGAGUUCCAAUAGAUGAAAUUCCACGAAAUACAAGUGCGGGCGAUUCUCGUGUGCUUGCGAGAGUACGGCAUGCCCGGGUGUGCGAGUAAAAUUCACGCAUGUUGUGAAGUUGCGGCGCAAAAAGAAAGCACGCGAAUAAAACAUAAGAAAAUUUAAUUACGCCUGCGUCUGGGAAAGUGCGUCGUUCUAUUUUGAAAUCGAUACCAAAAUAAAAUACAAAUAGAAAAAAAAAAACAAAAAAUAGGUGACACAACAACAACUAGAACAACAAUGCCCGACAACAACAACGUUGCAAAAGGAUCGGUGACGACUAAAUGCAUGAUUGAGAUCUCGUGAAAUGAUCAUUGAGUGGCUCGAAGGUGUAAAAGUAAAAAUUAUGUGAAAAAUGUGAGAAUAAGUGAGGAAUCCUAUGUGACAACAACCACAAAGACUUGCAAACAAAAGAUCAAGGGAGCAACAAAAACAUCGAAAGAAUCAAGAAAAAUGAUAACCUAAAUAAUUCAAAUUGCUAGUCAGAAAAAACAAACAACAACAGAAACCAGGGAACUCGAAGCCACAGACAGAGAGAAGAAAAUUAAGUUAUAGAAGUGAUCCGAAUUCCGAUCCCGCGUGCAUUUUCUCCCCCAAUCUCAACCUCUCUGGUCAACGGGGGUUUUCCCGAAUUUACAAUUUUCUCUUGCCACCGAAGAAAGCUUUCGCCACAAGCUGGAAAGAAAGUACCAAGGCAGCAGUGAAGAAAAAUAUUAUUGAAACGUGUUUGAAAUUUAUAACAACAAGGAAAAGCGAGAGAAGGUGUCAUUCAUUGUUCUCGAC
rnacentral:sRNA from 1 species